rnacentral:piRNA from 1 species
UGAGGUCCCACAAAGUGGUUGCUGGAGG